GCUGCUUCUCCAAUCAAUGUGUUAUGUCAUGGGGACCUAGAUUGGAAAUUGGUGCAUCCCUCAGGACUCGAGGAAAUCGCCGCUUAUAGGCUAGGAGCCCUGCACCUUUGUCUCUGGAAAAAUGAAAACUCCCCCAUCAUUUCAAAGAGCUGAACUGUGAACUUGCAUACACCGGCCAUGUGUUGUUACAUGGGAUCCCGCUGUCUGCUAUUGUCUGCUGUCCCUGUGCAGCAUGCCCAAGCAGCGAUGAAGAUGCCAUGGCAAGUGUUCCAGUCAGCUAUAGCUACUGGUGGUGCAGCUAGAGGACCAACCUUUGACAAUACAACUAUUCUUAUAUAGCGCAGCAUAUUCCAUUGCACUUUACAAAUGGAUAGACUCAUGAACACCAAUAAUCCACAAGAAGGGGUCUGUGGAAGCGACUCAUAA